rnacentral:lncRNA from 1 species
GUUUCUCCCAGCUUGGGGAUACUCAGAAACCUCCCUGCCUGGAGGCAGCCAGCUGAGAGGAGAGCAAUACCUCAGUUUCAUAUGAAAAAUGAAGAGGAACUCACAUGCUUGAUGUUACUGGCUUGCAAGAAGAACAGAAAUGGAUCAAAAAGAAGUUGAGUUUGCAGAAAUCUCCCACUGGCAGUUCUUAUGGCUGCCUCUAAGAAAGAGGAAGAAGAAACAACCUUACGUAACUAAGAUGCAUCUGGAAAGCAAGAACCAAAAGCCUGCCUGUUUUAGUUUUCUUGUGAGGCUUUAGCAUCGUUUGGGGCAGUUUAUAACUGAAUGUGCUAGAGCACAGACACAGCUGUGUGCUCAAUGACCAACCAUCACCAGCUGUCUGUCUCCUGGGGCCCACACUUUGUAACAGGAGGAUCUUCCAGGGCCAGAGAGCAGCCAGGAUGAGUGCAGGUUGGCACUGCACGUGGGGCACAGGAGAGUGAAGUCCUGUCCUUUCUGCACACUGCAGUGACUUAGGCACCACGUUCCUGGGUGUGUUUUCAUCAACCAAAAUGACAGUCUGCAAAAGUGCCCCGGGGACAUGGGAAUCCUUCUGCAUGGGUCACACAUGCAAAGAGCCUUCUCAAGGCUUCCUCUUAUAAAGAGGAUUCUGUUAGAGAGGACUCUGUUUUAUCUUAGAUCUGUAAUAUAAGUUGUAACAGGUUACAGAAAUACAUACACACUCGUGCACAUUUCAUCUGUGACAUUUUCUGUAACUUGUUAUUGUCCAGAUCACUGAUAAAGGCAUUAAGGUGUAUAACCAGUGGUGGGUCCCACAGCAUUCCACCCACUCAGCAGUGAUUUCCCUGCACUGUUGUGCUGUAAGGAUCCAGCUUCUGUUCUCGUGCUACUCUGCAUAUGUUGGAUCUGGAGUUGUGGCAUUUUUUUAAUGUUUUAGAAUAUAAAGCAGUUUAGUGGGCUUUUACAGCUAUAUUUAUUAUACUCCUCAAAAUAAAUUUACAAUAAAUCAUUUUUAUACA